rnacentral:rRNA from 1 species
UACGUAGGGGGCAAGCGUUGUCCGGAAUCAUUGGGCGUAAAGCGCGUGUAGGCGGCUUGGUAAGUCUGCUCUGAAAGCCCGGGGCUCAACCCCGGGAGGCGGGUGGAUACUGUCAAGCUCGAGUCCGGAAGAGGAGUGUGGAAUUCCUGGUGUAGCGGUGAAAUGCGCAGAUAUCAGGAAGAACACCUAUGGCGAAGGCAGCUCGCUGGGACGGUAUUGACGCUGAGACGCGAAAGCGUGGGGAGCGAACAGG